rnacentral:rRNA from 1 species
CCUACGGGCGGCAGCAGUGGGGAAUAUUGCACAAUGGGGGAAACCCUGAUGCAGCGACGCCGCGUGAGUGAAGAAGGAAUGCGGGAGGUAAAGCUCUAUCAGCAGGGAAGAAAAUGACGGUACCUGAGUAAGAAGCCCCGGCGAACGACGUGCCAGCAGCCGCGGUAAUACGGAGGGGGCAAGCGUUAUCCGGAGUUACUGGGUGUAAAGGGAGCGUAGACGGCAGUGCAAGUCUGGAGUGAAAGGCGGGGGCUCAACCCCCGGACUGCUCUGGAAACUGUACGGCUGGAGUGCAGGUGAGGUCAGUGGCAUUCCUCGUGUAGCGGUGACAUGCGUAGAUAUUAGGAGGAACACCAGUGGCGACGGCGGCUUACUGGACUGUACCUGACGUUGCGGCUCG